GGAAGGAAGGACUAACCCUCAUUGUAUCCUGGAUUUUUUUCUUCAAUUUAAAAACAUUUAUAUACCAGGCAUGGUGGCACACACCUUUAAUCCUAGCACUCAGGAAGGCAGAAGCAGGUCCAGCCCCUUCAUGUGUUCCAGCAGGUUAUACAUGGGGUAGAUGUUGGGGUGAAGUUCACUCAGAGCCCUGGAUCAGGGCCCACUCCCUUGUCAUCAUGGCAGGGCCUGCUCACUCUCCUGCUCCCAUGGAUUGCUUUUCUUGCAAGCUUGCUUACAUGGUGGAUUACAUUGGUGGAUUUUCGUAUGUUGAACCAUCCCUGCAACCCUGGGAUGAAGCCGACUUGAUCUUGGUGUAUGGUGUUUUCGAUUCAGUUUGUGAGUAUUUUAUUACAUGUUUUUGGAUCAAUGAUUAUAAU